rnacentral:rRNA from 1 species
UACGUAGGGGGCAAGCGUUGUCCGGAUUCAUUGGGCGUAAAGAGCGUGUAGGCGGCCAGGUAGGUCGGUUGUGAAAACUGGAGGCUCAACCUUCAGAGGUCGACCGAAACCAUCUGGCUAGAGUCCGGGAGAGAGAGUGGAAUUCCUGGUGUAGCGGUGAAAUGCGCAGAUAUCAGGAAGAACACCCGUGGCGAAAGCGGCUCUCUGGAACGGUACUGACGCUGAGACGCGAAAGCGUGGGGAGCGAACAGG